GACGAACGCUGGCGGCGUGCUUAACACAUGCAAGUCGAACGGAAAGGCCCUGCUUUUGUGGGGUGCUCGAGUGGCGAACGGGUGAGUAACACGUGAGUAACCUGCCCUUGACUUUGGGAUAACUUCAGGAAACUGGGGCUAAUACCGGAUAGGAGCUCCUGCUGCAUGGUGGGGGUUGGAAAGUUUCGGCGGUUGGGGAUGGACUCGCGGCUUAUCAGCUUGUUGGUGGGGUAGUGGCUUACCAAGGCCUUGACGGGUAGCCGGCCUGAGAGGGUGACCGGCCACAUUGGGACUGAGAUACGGCCCAGACUCCUACGGGAGGCAGCAGGGGGGAAUAUUGCACAAUGGGCGGAAGCCUGAUGCAGCAACGCCGCGUGCGGGAUGACGGCCUGCGGGUUGUAAACCGCUUUCGCCUGUGACGAAGCGUGAGUGACGGUAAUGGGUAAAGAAGCACCGGCUAACUACGUG
rnacentral:rRNA from 1 species